rnacentral:rRNA from 1 species
CCUACGGGGAGCAGCAGUAGGGAAUAUUGCGCAAUGAGCGAAACCCUGAAGCAGCAACGCAGCGUGGAGGAUGAAGGUUUUAGGAUUGUAAACUCCUUUUGUUAGAGAAGAUUAUGACGGUAUCUAACGAAUAAGCACCGGCUAACUCCGUGCCAGCAGCCGCGGUAAUACGGAGGGUGCAAGCGUUACUCGGAAUCACUGGGCGUAAAGAGUGCGGAGGCGGGGUAAUAAGUCAAAUGUGAAAUCCUGUAGCUUAACUAUAGAACUGCAUUUGAUACUGUUUCUCUGGAGUGUGGGAGAGGUAGGUGGAAUUCUUGGUGUAGGGGUAGAAUCCGUAGAGAUCAAGAGGAAUACUCAUUGCGAAGGCGACCUGCUGGAACAUUACUGACGCUGAUGCACGAAAGCGUGGGGAGCAAACAGGAUUAGAUACCCGUGUAGUC